GAUGAACGCUGGCGGCGUGCUUAAUACAUGCAAGUCGAACGGAGACAUUAUAGCAAUAUGGUGUCUUAGUGGCGAACGGGUGAGUAACGCGUUGGUGACCUGCCCCGAAGAGGGGGAUAACAGCUCGAAAGGGCUGCUAAUACCCCAUGUGAUCGUUAGAGUUAGAGGUCUUGCGAUUAAAGGAGUCGUUCUUUGAACGUUCCGCUUCGGGAGGGGCCUGCGUCCCAUCAGCUAGUUGGUAGGGUAAUGGCCUACCAAGGCGACGACGGGUAGGGGACCUGAGAGGGUGACCCCCCACACUGGCACUGAAACACGGGCCAGACACCUACGGGUGGCAGCAGUAGGGAAUCUUGCACAAUGGGCGAAAGCCUGAUGCAGCAACGCCGCGUGCACGAUGAAGGCCUUCGGGUCGUAAAGUGCUUUUCGGG
rnacentral:rRNA from 1 species